CCCUACAAUUAUUCGCAAACCAACAAACCCUGGGCGGCUUGGCGCGCUCCCCUCCUGCACGCAACCUCUCCCCCUCCCUCCAGAUCUAGAAUCGCCAUGAGCCCGUGCUCUUCCCCCACACGCAAUCUGGAAAUCCAAAUCUCGCCGAGAACUUUCAUCUCGUAUCGACGAAUCCGUUGGGCCCCUUAGCAGAACGGUGGGUUGAUUUGUUUCGAUUUGUGCGGAAAAACCCGUUUGUUUUCUUUUGCGCAGGCUCAGGUCUGAUGGGUGGUUUGGGUUCGUUGCCGGUUGAAUCGGGUUGCGACCACCUGGAUCUGGAUCUGCGCAAGGACGCUACGGAUCCGCGUGCGCGGCGCUUUGGAUCCUGCACCGAUCUGGCGGACCGCGGUGAACUUCCGUUCGGAGCGUGUUGGAGGCGGCGGCGGAGCUGACGGGUCGUGGCCACCAGCGGGAUCUCUUCCUCUGUCUCCACCGCGCGGGAUGAUCUCUCUGUGCUGAUAAUUAUUGGAUGAAUUUCGAUAAUUAUUAGUAGAUCUAAGAGAUGUGAGCCGUGCCGCCUUGAAGAGGCGAGGUAAGGUUGAAGCAUGUAAGAUUUCGGCGUCGAGUCGGCGUGCGUUGAGGGCAGAAAAAUGAGAAAAAGAUGUGACUUCGAGAGAGGCCUUUGCCAUGUUGGGUGCGCUCGCAUGGCAGGCCACGGUAAUAAAAAAAUAUUCUUGUGUCCGGGGGAGGAGAUCGCACGGGGCUUGUUUUUUUGGCCCCGGGUUCUCUUCCCCCAUGGUGUCCCUGUGCCUUUUGCUUCCCGUUCUCCCGUCGAGUCUGGAACUAGCAUCUACUAUCGCCGCUGCAAAGACAUGGAGCUACAGCGAAACUCACAAGGUACAAUCGGUAAUUUAAUCUGCAAUUCUAUUUACGUUCUUAUAUUCCGUGCAAAUUCUGCGUUCUCGCGCACUACAGAAACAACCCCUAAACCCGUGUAAACAUCCCAUCCACUUCGCUCAGAUCAGUUGCGAACUCAGUAAAUUCGCCAGGCUCACUGGACCCUCAAAAAACAAGUCAGCAUAAGCAAAACCAGCACAAAUCAAACUUGUGAUGAUGCGUCUACCAUUUUUCAGCGCUCCUAUGUUCUGUUCAUCUGGUUGACUCCUUGUUUCUAUUCCACUGUAUUUAUGAUAUUAGCUUACUUUUUGGUCUGUAAUCAACUCGAGUUUCUCUUACGAUGUCAUUUCUCUCUUACCAUAUCUAUAUGCAUUGCAUAUGUAUUUCAAUGAUCACCGUAUAUUGAUGGAUUUGAGAUGUUUACCAUAUAUUGAUGGAAUUAGAUUGUUUACCAUAUCGAUGGAUUUGGGACAUACUUUAUUUACUUGGCAAAUUGUUUAUUGAGCAAUUGUAGAGCUUUAGAGGCUUUCCAAAUUCCUGUACGAUGGAUUCUAUUGAUCGUGUUGAGAAAAGUGAACAAGGAGCUAUUCUUGGCGGCUGUGAUGAUGGAACUGAUGAUGCUUUUACCCAAGCUGAAGAUUUUGGCAAGUGAACAAUCCGGUUGGUUAUAUUGCCUGGUGGUGUCUAUUGUGCCCCAAAGUCCCCAGGUGUUUGUUGUUCUGUACUUAAUCUCUUUGCUGGUUGUUAACUGCCUCAGUUUAUUCUGCUUGUACGUAUUCUUGGUUAAUUCGAUCAGGCAGUGAGUUCAUCAAUUAGAAGUUGAGCACUGGUUUUCCAUGGAGGUUAGCUUGAUUGCUGCAGAUUGUAACAGAACUUGUCCAUUUGAUGGCACGCAAGAGUUGGGCCAUGUUUAGUUA